rnacentral:lncRNA from 1 species
GUUUAACUAGGUCAGAAUCCUCGAUUGAUUGCACCCAUUUGACUCCAUUAUCUCACUGCAGUUCGCCCCUUUCCUCCCUCUUGCUCUGUUACUUCUCCCUCUUCCUCGCCAUUGUUCACCGGCGCCGAUUGGUCAAGCACUGUUCUUCUUAAAGGUAAUGUUUCUUCUCUAAAUAGCUACUGAACAUUAUUUAUUGCUCCUAUUAUGAACAUAAAAUUCUAUCAGUGUUAGCUUUGAUUUCACAUUGGGGGUUGUUUAAGUGGGUUGAAUAGAUGAACUUGAUGUGGGUAUGAUAUUAUAUAAUGCAAUACUUGAAAUAGUUUAGUUUGUUCUUCCAUUUAGUGUAUGUAAACUGGUAUAUGGUUUUUCCCAUGUGAAAGCUUUGCUCAAAGUUUUCCUUUUCUAUUUCCUUUAUUUAAUAAUUGUACUAAAGCCAUGAAAUAGUGGUUCAUUGUGAUAAGAUAUGAUUUCAAGUGAUUGAUUAGUUAUAACUUUACUACGUAUAUAUGCAGUAAUAUAUAUGAACAAUAAUUUUCAGUCAUUUUUUACAUGAUUUCAAGUGUGUAAACUUUCUGUAAGUUCAACAAAAAGGCAUGUAUUAUCAUAUUAAUUAAGCUAUAUUAUGAGCAUAUAUAUAAAUAACACUUGGGUUAAUUAUCUGUAGUUUUGUGUUAUAUAUAAAGCUAUAUUAUUUAUGUGAUUUGAAAAAGAGAAAAGAACUACUUUUAUACAAGUAUAAUUGCUUGAUUAGAGGGCCUUCCAUAAUAUUUAGGGUUUAUAAUGAUUCUCUUUUCUUUUACACAUGCUUGGGUUUAUAAUAUUUUGAGACAUGAUUCUAAAUGAACUCUGUUUAUUGACUGUCUCUUGUUGUAUGCAUCAAUAUUAUCAUACAAAAAUCCUUUGUUGAUCAAAAGUACUUAAAGUCAUUAGUGUAUAUGGAUUCUUGUAUAUUCUAGAUUUUCCAAAUUCAUUUAGCGACUGUACUUCUUGAAGGUAGUUCAAAAGCUUACGUAAUUAUAACUCUUGUUCUAGCUCAACUAUUAGAUGUUGAAACUUCUGGUCUGGUUUCUCCGAGCUGUUGAAGGGGAAAAAAUAAAACAUUCGAACCUCUAUAGUUAUUAACAUUCAUCCUUUGUUGGGGCUUAGUUUGUAUAUAAUUAUGUCCUUGAGCUCUGUAUUUGUCUCUGUAUUAUGUCAAGUGUUUUUGAUUAUGUUGCUAAAAAUAAAAUAUGUUGGAACACAUUCUUUUAUAGUUGACAUUGUCAAUUUUUUUACAAUUAUAAAAUGACAUAAUCUUCUUAAUUUAUCAUAAUUACUAUUCAGCGGAUACUUCAAUUUCUUUCUAUAUAUAUAUUGUCAUAUAGUUUAGGAAGCUUAGAAACCCGUUUGAGAUUCACUUAGUAGGAGUGAAUCUCAAAUAGUCCCCGUUUUGGGACUGUUCUUGUAUGUUUCGAUCUCACUUAGGUCGGUGUUAACGACUUGAGCACGUCUUUAUAUUUUUUGAAUUUUCGGUCAGUAUAUAUCUCUUGAUGUUCUUCGGGUGCAUAUUUAGACUACGAUGUGUUAGUCUAUUUCGUGUACUUGAAGACCAUGGGGAGGUGCUGCCGAAAAUUCUGAAAAAUGUAAAGAUGUGUUCAAGUUGUUGGCAUCAGUGAGGCGACUCAUAAGCUUGCAUAUACAUUAACUUGGAGACUUGAUUGUGUUUAUCUAACUUUUCAUAUAUAUAGCAGACAGUUGUCCGAGAUGUCUGUUGAUCGAAGUNNNNNNNNNNNNNNNNNNNNNNNNNNNNNNNNNNNNNNNNNNNNNNNNNNNNNNNNNNNNNNNNNNNNNNNNNNNNNNNNNNNNNNNNNNNNNNNNNNNNAUGGUCGACUCAUGGGGGCUUAUCAUGUCCUGUGUGCAUGGGGUCAGUUAAAGCUGUGCGGCUCAAACAUGGGGGAAAAAUGAGUUUUUUCACAACAUCCAGACAGUUUUUGCCGAUUGAACAUCGUUAUCGACGGAUGAGUAGACAAUUCAAUCGAAAAACAGAGAAACGUCAAGUACCUGGCCGUCUUUCUGGGUCAGCAGUGUUGAGUUGGAUUAGUCAUUUGAAGUUUCCACCUCCAGGGAAGAAUCACAGAUUAGAGCGAGCUUAUGGUUACGGUAAGGUUCACAACUGGACACACAGAUCCAUGUUUUUUGACCUGCCUUAUUGGGCUACACUCUGCAUCCGUCAUUGUUUAGAUCCGAUGCAUACUGAGAAGAACGUAUUUGAUAAUAUUUUUUAUACAGUCAUAGAUGCCACUGAUAGAACAAAGGACAACAACAAGUAGAGGCUUGAUUUGGUAGAAAUGAACAUUAAGGAAGAUUUGUGGCUGUAUCAGGAGGGUAGUAAGACGGUAACGCCUAAAGAUGAAUAUACUUUGACCAGGGAAUAGUUGAUAUUGAUAUGUAAUUGGAUCAGUGGACUGAAGCUCCCAGAUGGAUAUUCUUCGAAUAUAGCAAGGNNNNNNNNNNNNNNNNNNNNNNNNNNNNNNNNNNNNNNNNNNNNNNNNNNNNNNNNNNNNNNNNNNNNNNNNNNNNNNNNNNNNNNNNNNNNNNNNNNNNCGUUGUAAAGUUGAAGAGCUGAAGUUUCGGGGUCUCAAAAGUCAUGAUUGUCACGUAUUCAUAUAGAAGCUGAUCCCUGUGGCAUUUAUCGACUUGUUACCGAAACGUGUGGUUAAAGCACUGACAGAGCUUUCUAAUUUCUUCAGAGAUCUAUGCUUGACGGAGCUUCAGGUCAAAGACAUAGAUAAAAUGGAGAUGCAGAUAGUGGAAAUAAUGUGCAAGUUAGAAAUGAUCUUCCCUCCAUCGUUUUUUGAUUCAAUGGAGCAUUUACCUAUUCACUUGCCAUACGAAGCUAAGUUUGGCGGUCCCGUACAAUAUAGAUGGAUGUAUCCAUUCGAGAGGUAAUGACAUUAAUGUUUUUAAUACGGUAAAAUGUUCAUUAUUUUUUUGUUAAUCUAUAUAUCACAUAGGUAUAUGCGACGUCUAAAGCAAAAGGUGAAGAAUAGAGCCCGUGUAGAGGGGUCGAUUGCUGAAAGUUAUGUUAUGGAGGAACUUGUUAAUUUCUGCUCGUUGUACUUUGAGCCGAAUGUUCAUACGAAGCACAAUCGCUUACGUCGGAAUCAGGCUGUUGCGCACGAGGAAAAUGGAGAAUUAACUGCCUUUAGUCAUCCUGUACGCCCAUUCGGCGGUAAAAAAAGGCGAUUCUUGACCGAUAGUGAGUAUGCAGCUGCCACAUUGUAUGCACUUGUCAACAUGAAUGAAGUAGCGCCAUACAUUAAGUAAGUAGUCAUAACUAUAUAUGCCUGGUGUAAUUGUGUCAAGUUCCUUUCCAAACACAUUGAGUAUAUAACUGUGUUGCAGUCAAUAUGAUGUUGAAGUACGUGAAGCGAAUCCGAGUAUAUCGGACGAGGAUUUGCAAAAUUUGAGAAAUGGAGAAUUUGUGCAAUGGUUUAAGGAUCAUGUAAGUCUAACCUUUAAACGUUCAAUGAAUCUACCAUCAUAGACUUAUUCUUAUGGCGUAAUUAACUUUAGAAUAUGUUGUGUUAAUGUACAUUAGGUCCUCACAGAUGAGUUAGCUGACAAUCGACUAAAGCUUAUAGCCGACGGCCCCGAAAGAUCUGUAGAUACUUAUACAUGUUGCAUUGUCAACGGUUACAGAUUUAAGUGUUGCGAUAUUGGGGAAGUCGCUUCUGUUGAUUCUGGUGUUGUGGUGAAAGGUAGCUGCUACGAUAACAUUUGGGAUGACUGGUAUGGACGAUUGCUAGAAGUUGUCGUUCUCAAAUAUUGGGGUCAUAAAGAAUUAGUUUGCUUCAAUUGUCAUUGGUUUGAUGUUCAGAAUGGAGUUAAAGUAGAUAAAAAUUCAGGACGGGUGACUGUUAAUGUUAAGUCAAAACUAAGACUGAUGAGUGGUAUGGACGAGCCUUUUAUUUUAGCAAGUCAAGCGACACAGGUGUACUACGCGCGGAGUGUUAAGACUCCUGCAAGCCCAUGGCAUGCUGUUAUAACCACCAAAGCCCGUGGUUUUCAAGGCACAACUCCUCGUCCAGACGAUGAACCUUUACAAGUCGAGUCUACUAGUGUCACACCUGCUGAUGUGACAAUUAUUAGUGAGUCUAGUGAAGAAGAGGAUGAUGUUGUCGCUGUCGAAAGUGAAGAUGAUGUUGUUGAGGAGGUAAAUAUAAUUGAAGAAAUCGUUGAAGACGACGAAGAUGGUGAUGACAACGAUAGUGAAGAUCUACUGCUCGAAGAUGACGAUUCUGAUAUUGAUGGCUUUGACGAUAUAAAUGAUUAGGAGUAUGUACUAUUUGUGUCAUUUUAGUUGUAUUCAAAUGUAAUAGUUUGUAGUAGUGCAAUCAUUAUCUUCAACUUAUAUUAAUCUACUAAAUAAGGUGUUGAGUUGUUUUAGGAGUAUGUACUAUUUGUGUCAGUUUAGGUUAUUAUUUAUGCUGUAUCCUUUUAGGUUACUAUUUAUGUUGCAUUCUUUUAAUUGUAUCCUUUUAGGUUACUAUUUAUGCUGUAACUUUUUAGGUUACUAUUUAUGUUGCAUUCUUUUAAUUGUAUCUGUAUGUUAUCCUCUAUGUUAUCCCUCUUUUACUGUAUGUUGCAUUCUUUUAGUUGACAGUAUACAUACAUAUGGCGCGCACACCACACGGCGAUCGUGGUGGGCGUGCAGGUCGUGGGGGCCGUGGAGAUUCUACGCGUGAUGAUCAGGCGGGAUCGUCAG